rnacentral:misc_RNA from 1 species
CAAGACUAGCACAAUGGAGGAUCGAGAAGUUAGGCCCUUGCUCUUGCAAAACAUCUGAUCCUUUCAAGAUAGGAAUCUGGAACUGGCACUUGUCUGUGGAGAAGAAUCGAUACCUCCAUGUUCGUUUGUUUCCAGAGCCAUCUCGANNNUAGAGAAACCUCCUAUUGCUACAUUUAUUCUUCGUGUUUUUAAUGCUCGAGCUAACCGCGCGCCCUAUAUCUCUACUGUUCACGAAAGAUUGCUGCGAACAAGCGAUGACUUUGUCUGGCCUGUUGAUUCCACCUUUCAUGAUCGCUUCAUCAUUGAUGUCGAGUUUCUAGACCUCAAGAUCUGGCACCUUCUGAAUGGUGGGGAAGCCAGUUCCAUAUGGCCUAGUGAUGGUAUGAUGCAGUC